AAUUUUUAAAAAAUUUAAACUGGAGCUAUCAAAGGAAAAUGUAUUUAGAAAAAAACAAACUAUGAUUAACUUAAUUUCAGAACAUUUCCAUUAUGUGAGAUAAAAAAGUUUCUAAAUACUGUGUUGUGUGAAUUACCGGUAUAUUUAUUGGUACAGUAGAAAUCAUGAAAAGUAGAAGCUGUAUAAUAGAAAAUAAUUAUAAAACGCUGUAUGAUAGAAUUAGCUGUAUGAAAGGAGACAAGUUAUCUUGUGCAAACACAAACCUAUGACUAAGUAUUUGUUUAUAAACACUUUCAGUUUGUUUAUAAUAUUGUGUGUAUGAUAGUCAAAAAGAAAAAAAAAAUGAUUCAGAUAUUUUUUUUUAUGUUAUUCAUUAAUUUAUAUUUCUUUGUUGGUUGUGAUUUUGGCCAAAUUUGUCUAUUUGGAGACAUUCAAAUCUCAGCAAGUUUCAAUCAGUAGACAGAAUUUUGAUGAUAGUUUUGUUAUCAUUUGGUAAUAAUAGCUCUGGUGAUAGUUUGUCAAUCUACUUUCCUUAGUGUACCAAUUAGAAUUUGAUUUUUUAAAAAUUGUUUUUUUGUAAAGUAAAACUUUGUUUUGUAUGAUGUUUUAUGUGAACUUUUGCACUCCCCACUUAACAAGUUUUGAAACAGUAUUUGGCAGUGCUACAUUUGUUUUGUUUCCUGCAAUAUGGUCUGGCUGGAGUAAGAUAGUCUUAACAACAACAUUGUGAAAAAUAUCAACCCCAUUGUCACUCUUACUCGUACUUAAAGAAUAUGUGUUGUAGUUUGACUCUGUCUCAAAUGCUUGAAAUACAUUUUCUAAAGUGGUGCUCAUGUUUUUUUCACAUUGUAGUUGUUCAUUUUAUAUCAUAACUUUAAAUUUUGACAACUUUGCAUUAGAAAUUAGGUAACAUAAAAAUUAUAAUUUAAAGUCUACUGUGGAAAAUUUUAUAAAAUUGUCAACUGUGAAUAGUCCAAUGAUUAGUGAAAUUCUAGAUCUAUAUUCCUACAGAGUGCACAUGUCAAAGCAAAAAUAUUUAUUACUUAGUUAUGUUUAUAUUUUUUGUUUUGUAUUGUAUGAAGUACCGCUGUAUGUCACCUAUGAAAUUAUUUGCUGGCCUGUGUGCCUUAACUAUUGUGCUGUACAUUUU